GUGUUUUGAGCAGUUCAUCAUAGAUAUGCACCCACUUCUGCCUCAAAACUCUCUUUGCUCCUCUUUAUACAUUGCCUUGCACACUGCAUGCAGCAUUUAUUGUGAGUAGGCUUGUUAUUGCAUUCCACUCAUUCUUGUCUUUGAACCUCUCUGUGUGUCCUGUUUUUCAUAAUGAAAUAUGCUUGCUUUCACAGUUUCCUCUACUGUUAGUUAUCAUCAGAGUCCACCACCAAUAAUCAUAGUUCUUUGGAAGCCAAGGUCUCCCACCCAACAAAUAAGAUACUCCCUUUCCACCUUUAGUUGUUCCAAGGAUAUCAAGAACGGAAAACAUAUGUGUAAGUGAAAAUGUAGCAAUAAGUUUUUUCUAUACUUUCAAAUUUUCCUAGAUGAGCGUCAUCCUAUCUGACGGAAAGAGUACAUGCCGUCCAAGGUUGCUGGUCCCAGGAAGAUGAAGGACCGGAUAUUCCUACUAGUGACGAGCAAUGAGUCAUCCUACCUAUCAGGAUCAAGUUGGGAUACCAUUUAAGCUCAUAUAUACAUGACAAAACAUUUUUGUCAUGUAUAUAUGAGAUUAAAUAACAUCCCAAUUUGAUGCUGAUGAGUCAUAUGAGUCAAUGCUCAACACUAGUAGGAAUAUCCAGUCUCUCAUCUUCUGAGGACCAGCAACUUUGGACGCCAUGUAUUCUUCAGGUCAGAUAGGGAGAAGUUCUUCCAGGAAGAGUUGAAGUGAUAGAGAUCUGUUGCUACAUUUUCACUCACACAUCAAUAACUUCUCUAGGGGAAGAAACGUCGCGAUCCUCCUUUUCCAUCUCAAGCCAUAUGAAGUCUACAACAAGUAUUCUUUAGAAGAUAACACAUCAGAAGAAGAAAAAAAGUUAUUCAGAAAUUCUUUGGAAUACAACUUGUGUUCUGGAGCUGUACUGAUUCUCUUAGAAAAAAGCACCACCAUAAUUUUAAAUGAUCAUAAUCAUCUGAAGUCACAGAGUAAUCAAAUUCUCCAUUUUGGUCCUUCCUCUUAUGGUUUCCUUAACAAGAUAAGUGAUGUGGAAUUAACUAGCAUGAAUAUUUGGUAUUCACCAAAAGGUGGUCGAAAAUCAUUUUCUCAUUAAUGCUUUGAGUUACUUCACUCCUCUUAGGAAAUAUAUUUCUUAUCACUUUCAAGGCUCACUUUGCUGCUUUCGAAACCAAGCAUUUCAUGCCUCUCAAGUUUCUUGUAAAAUAUCUGCCUAUCUGAUCUUUACAAAUUAAAACCUCGUUUUAUUGUUUUGACGAUAUUCAUCAUUUAACUACAAUUUUGAGCUCAUUACUAUAUCCCUAUGCUCGUUACUCCUAUUAACACCACCAUUCAACUUCUAAGCCUUGUAAUAUCAAGCUGCUGGUAACCAAAAAUAUAAGCGUGCAGUACUUUAGUAAGUUUCUCAUGAUCUAGUUGUUGGUUAUUAUCUUGCCUUCUAGAUCCAUAUACAACAUCAGGUAGCUUUGAUAAUAGGAAAAUUGUGUUAUAUUAAUCUGAUUCUAAUGAAAUCAACAAGAAUGACAAAUAGAUUGAAUGCAUAUAUUUGAUGCGUAAAUUUCUUUUCGUAGGGACUCCAUAGGACAAAAACUGAACUCUUCUUCCUCAUUCAGUGUGUUCUUUGAGUUAACAAUUUUAUGUGAUUUAAUUGUUCCAUUUUUUUCUGCAAAGCUAAUGCCUGCACGAAGGAGAGACACUUGAAGGAACCAAGCAUCAUUGACCGAUAUGGUGAUGCAAAAAGAACUAACAAUUAAUUAGAAGUAUAAAUCAACAUUGUGUGCAGUAUGUCGAUUAUAUAUUGGAGCAUAUUCAAAGGAGUUGGUUACAAUAAAUUGUUAAUAGCUGUUGUAUUUUCUAGAAUAGUAAGAAAUAAAACCUCCUUCUAUAUACUCGAUUAUGAAUGUAAAUUAACAAAAUUCAAGUCACUUGUUUAAUCUAUAAGUUUAAUGAGGUAAUUAGUUCUCAACUUAUACAGAAUAAAGAUGUCUCGUAUAUAAAAGAACUGCCAUGGGCUCAACUAAUGACCAGAUACUAACAAAACAAUCUUUACAAUUAAGUUGUAGUAAAAUUUAAGGUUCUCUAUGACAUGUGUUCCUAUGACGGCAAAACUGAAGACCUACAAAGUGGACAAGAUGUCUUCCCCUUCAGCAGCCAUUGCUUUAUGCAGCUUGCGUGGUAUUCAUGUUGACAUUCAAGAGUGCCAAUUGUCUCAUCAUUCUCGUAUUCGCAUAGGCAAAUAGCACAUGUUUCUCCUCCAUCGUCAGUACUGCAAUGAGUUCUUGUUCUCAUCAUAUUUGCUAUAGUCUCCUCUGCGGCCUCCUCGCCGUGGUCGUUGCGUUCCACCAUAUGGGCCACCAAAAGUUGCAAUAAUUCUAUCAGAAAAGCUCGGUCAUUGUCAUCAUCGGUGAAUCCACUUCCAGUUGUGUCAUAGUCUUCGUCAGAGAAUUCACUUUCAGUUGUGUCAUAAUCUUCGUCAGAGGAUUCACUUUCAGUGGUGUGAUAGAUAUCAUCAACGAAUUCACCUGUUGACAGAUUAUAGACGCCAUCCCUCAAGUCUGGAUCCUCAGCGUGAUCAAACCAAAUCUGUCCAGUAUAUGUAUAUCCAGGAUCCAUAAGAGGUGAGUUGCCUGGAGCAAAGCAGUGAUAAUUUCCUAGAGCUUGAUGUUGAUCAAUGGAUUCAAUUCCAUCUACAACAUAGACACCAUCAAUGAAUUCACCCGCUGGCUGAUUAAAACCACCGUGUGGAUAAUCAAUGUAAUCAAACGAACUGUGUCCAUUAUAGGUAUGAUGACUUUGGGAAUUUGUACUGACGAUAAAAGGAAACUGAUCAUCAGCUGCAACAUAGGCAUGAUCAUCAACGUAGUAUCCACUUGUUGGCUGAUAAUAAUAAUAAUAAUAAUACCCUGGGUCAUAAUUCAUUGUUGUAGCAUAGAAAUCCCUCAAGUAUGGAUCCUCAAUGUUAUCAAACCAACUCUGUCCAUCAUUAUACGUAUAUGGAUUUCUUGAAACGUAGUAAUUUACUGGACUUUGAGAAUUUGAACUCAUGAUCGAUGACACUAAAAUACAAGAACAAAUUAAGAGGAACUAAAUUGAUCAAUUGAAGUGAGUUUAACUUUUCUUGGGAGCAAAUAUGGAAUUAAGCGGUAUGAGAAUUGUAGAUUUAUAUAGCUUGGCUAAGACCGCUAA
rnacentral:lncRNA from 1 species